GACAUAUAAGCCAAACAAUUUAUUGCAUAAUAUGAAGGCUUAUAUAAUUCCAAAUGAAAGGGGGAGCUUUAACUCCGAAAUUUGUUGUUUCACUCCUUUCAAACUUGGAUAAAUUAAAUUAUCAGACAUUUGAAUUCAUUUAUGGAUUUUAUUUCAUUAUUUAUUGAGCAAGUCAUUUUACAUAUACUCAAAGUUUUGUCAUCAUCAAAAAGGGGGAGAUUGUGGAGUGAUUGAUUAAAACCCCAUUUGAUUUUGAUGAGCUCAAAGCAUUUGAGUAUAUCUUGUGAUUACUAAUGAAUUCAAUUGAGUGUUUCAGUGAAAAUCCUGUCCAAGUGUCUCUAGAUUUGGUUCAUAGUAUUUUGGAUAAGGUAAGAAGUCUGCUGAACCAAAGUCUGAGACUCGAGUCGACUCCCGAGUAUCACGAGUCGACUCCAAGCGUAUCAAGUUCACUGGCACGAGCUCGAGUCGACUCCAGAUA
rnacentral:lncRNA from 1 species